rnacentral:rRNA from 1 species
UACGAAGGGGGCUAGCGUUGCUCGGAAUCACUGGGCGUAAAGCGCACGUAGGCGGUCUUUUAAGUCGGGGGUGAAAUCCUGGAGCUCAACUCCAGAACUGCCUUCGAUACUGGAAGACUUGAGUCCGGGAGAGGUGAGUGGAACUGCGAGUGUAGAGGUGAAAUUCGUAGAUAUUCGCAAGAACACCAGUGGCGAAGGCGACUACUGGACACAUAUUGACGCUGAGGUGCGAAAGCGAGGGGAGCAAACUGGG